GAAACGCGAAAGGUAAUGCGAAUUGCAGAAUCUGUGAGUCAUCGAAUCUUUGAACGCACAUUGCGCCUCUCGGUAUUCCGGGAGGCACGCCUGUUCGAGCGCCAUUACAAACUCCAAGCGUGGCUUGAUGUUGGGCGAUGUCUUUUUGCGAGAGCGGAGACACGCCUGGAGCGCGUUGGCGCCGCCGCCGGACCACGAGCGUAGCAAGACGAGAGUCAAUCGCAUCGAUUUGGAUUCCGACGGAGGUCCGCCAUGGGACUGCACUUUCGAGUGUAAGUUCACAACUUCUCUCAAGUUUGGCCUCGGAUCAGGCGGGGAUACCCGCUGAACUUAAGC
rnacentral:misc_RNA from 1 species